rnacentral:rRNA from 1 species
CCCUUAGAUGUUCUGGGCUGCACGCGCGCUACACUGAAGCGUUCAACGAGUAUUUCACCUUGCCCGGGAGGGUUGGGUAAUCUUUUUAAAACGCUUCGUGAUGGGGAUAGAUUAUUGCAAUUAUUAAUCUUCAACGAGGAAUUCCUAGUAAGCGCGAGUCAUCAGCUCGUGCUGAUUACGUCCCUGCCCUUUGUACACACCGCCCGUCGCUCCUACCGAUUGGGUGAUCCGGUGAAUAAUUCGGACUGCAGCAGUGCUUGGUCCUCCGGGCUUUGCAGCGGAAAGUUUAGUGAACCUUAUCACUUAGAGGAAGGAGAAGUCGUAACA